CAGAGUAGAGAAUUGAGCGUACAAGUGUCCGACGGACGGGGAGUUGCCGGCGGAACGAAAAGCUUUCAAAAGCUUGCGGUUCAGUUCUUGCAUCCCGCUG
rnacentral:ncRNA from 1 species